rnacentral:rRNA from 1 species
CGCUGGCGGCGUGCUUAACACAUGCAAGUCGAACGAUGAUGCCCGAGCUUGCUCGGGUGGAUUAGUGGCGAACGGGUGAGUAACACGUGAGUAACCUGCCCUUCACUCUGGGAUAAGCCUGGGGAAACUGGGGUCUAAUACUGGAUAUGACGGCGCACUGCAUGGUGUGUUGUGGAAAGAUUUUUCGGUGAAGGAUGGGCUCGCGGCCUAUCAGCUUGUUGGUGGGGUAGUGGCCUACCAAGGCGGUGACGGGUAGCCGGCCUGAGAGGGCGACCGGCCACACUGGGACUGAGACACGGCCCAGACUCCUACGGGAGGCAGCAGUGGGGAAUAUUGCACAAUGGGCGCAAGCCUGAUGCAGCGACGCCGCGUGGGGGAUGACGGCCUUCGGGUUGUAAACUCCUUUCGCCAUUGACGAAGCCCUUCGGGGUGACGGUAGGUGGAGAAGAAGCACCGGCUGACUACGUG